rnacentral:rRNA from 1 species
GAUGAACGCUGGCGGCGUGCCUAAUACAUGCAAGUCGAGCGAACAGACGAGGAGCUUACUCCUCUGACGUUAGCGGCGGACGGGUGGGUAACACGUGGAUAACCUACCUAUAAGACUGGGAUAACUUCGGGAAACCGGAGCUAAUACCGGAUAACAUGUUGAACCGCAUGGUUCAACAGUGAAAGACGGUCUUGCUGUCACUUAUAGAUGGAUCCGCGUCGCAUUAGCUAGUUGGUAAGGUAACGGCUUACCAAGGCAACGAUGCGUAGCCGACCUGAGAGGGUGAUCGGCCACACUGGAACUGAGACACGGUCCAGACUCCUACGGGAGGCAGCAGUAGGGAAUCUUCCGCAAUGGGCGAAAGCCUGACGGAGCAACGCCGCGUGAGUGAAGAAGGUCUUCGGAUCGUAAAACUCUGUUAUUAGGGAAGAACAAAUGUGUAAGUAACUAUGCACGUCUUGACGGUACCUAAUCAGAAAGCCACGGCUAACUACGUG